AUUGAACGCUGGCGGCAGGCCGAACACAUGCAAGUCGAAAGAGUGGCGGACGGGUGAGUAAGGUCUGGGAAACUGCCCGAAGGAGGGGGAUAAAUAAUGGAAACGGUAGCUAAUACCGCAUACCAUCGGAUGUGCCCAAAUGGGAUUAGCUAGUAGGUGGGGUAACGGCUCACCUAGGCGACGAUCCCUAGCUGGUCUGAGAGGAUGACCAGCCACACUGGAACUGAGACACGGUCCAGACUCCUACGUGAGGCAGCAGUGGGGAAUAUUGCACAAUGGGCGCAAGCCUGAUGCAGCCAUGCCGCGUGUAUGAAGAAGGCCUUCGGGUUGUAAAGUACUUUCAGCGAGGAGGCGUUACUCGCAGAAGAAGCAUCGGCUAACUCCGUGCCAGCAGCCGCGGUAAUUC
rnacentral:rRNA from 1 species